CUGCAGUUAGCAGGAUGAGUCAGUCUAGAGAUCUAACGUGCAGCAGUAAUAACACUGCUGUCUCAUGCACUGGAAAUUUGCUGAGAAUGGAUUUCAGGUGUUUGCACCAAGAAAAGAAAAAGACAAUUAUGUGAGGAGAUGUACAUGUUAAUUAGCUUUACUGUAGCAACCAUUUCACUAUGUAUCGGAGUACCAAAACAUGUUGUACGCCUUAAAUAUGUAUAAUUUUUAUUCUCUUCCCAAAAAGACGAGGUCUGUGGUAGGAAUGGCCAGUAGCUGUACCUGGACUCUGUGAUUUCUACGAUGGAAGGAAUGACACUCCUGCCAGGUUCAGGCCUAACCUUGAAAAAGACUGGCAAGUGGCACUUUCUCUCUCUUAGGAACCAGCCAUGACGCUGUGAGGAAGCCCACGUGGCCACAUGGCAGAGGACCAAGGCCCCUGGCCAUCAGCCCCGCUGAGCUCCCAGCUUGUCAGCCAGCACCAACUUGCCAGCAUUGUGAGCAAGGCCUCAGCUGAUGUCACAGAGGGCGGAGAGGAGCUGUCCCCCUGGGCCCAGCCCAAACUGAAAUCCGGCCGCUCUAUGCAGCCACAUCACUGACUGCCUCCACACCCUCAGCUAGGCCUCCACCAUCCAUCCCUCUCUGAGCAGCCGGCUGCUCUCCUCUCCACCCAGGCUGUUCUGCAACUGAUCCUCCUGGAGGACGCUGCACCUCCCUGAACUCCGCACAGGACCUGCACACACGUGCUCUGGUUUAGAAAAGACAGUGGCACUGCCCAGGAAGGUCAGAGCACCUUUGGACCCAGAAGUUCUGCUCCCAGGUAUAAAUGCCAGUGAAGCGUGGGACACGGCCUAGGGUGGUGUGCUCUCGGAGCCCCAAGCUGGAAUGGGCCUGCAUGUCUCAAUGGGACAAUGGCUGAAUAUGGCCCAUCCACACAAGGAACACAAAACAGCCACCAGAAUGCAGGUACCCUGGCCACCCCCAGCAGCCGAGUGAGUCACCCAGGCAGCCAGGCCGCAAACAGGGUGCACAUUGCACUUUACGUAAAGGAGAAAAAUGGGGAAAAUGCAACGCCUCAGCUGAACGUGCCCCUGGGGAGUGAGACUAUGAGGCUGAGGAGGGACACGACUGUCACAAAGUCAGGGCACUGACAGUCACCCCAGGGAGAGGGGCUGUUGUCGGGGGGGAUACAAGUGCUUCUGGGCUGCUAGCAAUAUCCCAUCUACUGACACAGGGGGUGAAUACAGACAUCUCCACGACAUGAAUCUUUAAACUGUACACACACACAUGCACAUAUGGAUGCGUAUACACUGGGUGUCUUCUGUGUGUCUAUAUCAUAAUUUUGAAAAGGAAAAAAAAUGAGCAAUUGUCCAACAAAGUGA
rnacentral:lncRNA from 1 species